rnacentral:lncRNA from 10 species
CCAUUUGUAUGGCCCAACCUGGCUGCCCACCUAGGGAAAGAUCAAGGGUGUUUGUUCAUACAUUGCUAUGAAAUAAAGCUGUCUCUGCCUAACAAAGUAGGGGGUGCCAAAGGGCCUGUUUAUCUUUGGCCAUACUGAAUGUUUCAGUUAAAGAGCCACAUUCUCUUAGCCCUUUGCACAUUAUCUUCCUUAUCCUUAGAAUACCCUUCCUUGCUUACUUUCUUGCGCAGCUCUUUAUCUCUUAGGACUCGGCUUCAAUGCUCCCUUUUAAGGAAAGCCUUUCUUAACUCCAGGCAGCAGGAAAGAAUGGAAACCAUCUUGGAGUCACACAGGAAGGAAAGAAGGGCAGAAGGGGAAGGACAAGGACGGAGACAGACGAGGAGAGGGAAACAA